rnacentral:rRNA from 1 species
GACGAACGCUGGCGGCGUGCUUAACACAUGCAAGUCGAGCGGUAAGGCCCUUUCGGGGGUACGACGAGCGGCGAACGGGUGGAGUAACACGUGGGUGACCUGCCCUCAGCUCUGGGAUAAGCCUGGGAAACCGGGGUCUAAUACCGGAUAUGACUCCAUGACGCAUGUUGUGGGGUGGAAAGCCUUGUGCGGCUGAGGAUGGGCCCGCGGCCUAUCAGCUUGUUGGUGGGGUGGAUGGCCUACCAAGGCGACGACGGGUAGCCGGCCUGAGAGGGCGACCGGCCACACUGGGACUGAGACACGGCCCAGACUCCUACGGGAGGCAGCAGUGGGGAAUCUUGCGCAAUGGGCGAAAGCCUGACGCAGCGACGCCGCGUGAGGGAUGACGGCCU